rnacentral:tRNA from 1 species
AGCCCCGUAGUGUAGUGGUCCAUCAUGUUGGNCUUUGGAACCCGCGACCCUGGUUCAAAUCCGGGCGGGGCUA